UCUCUACGGGCGCUGGCUUCUCACGGGUCAGGCAGGAAGGUGAGGGUGCUGGCUUACUGGUGUGCACGGCUUUGCCUCUGCAGAGCAACUGCAUCUUCAGAACGCUGACCGUGGAGCAAUGACUCACAUAGCAAAUAGAUAUCGCAGGAAGUAGCAGGGCUGGAUAACUGAUUUAAAUAGCCAAACCUGCUGUUUUCCCCAUAAUACCGUAAUUAAAUAUUUCUAGCAAAUUUUCGGUUGUAAGAUGAACACGUUCUAAGGAUCUGCUAACUGACCUGUACAGUGACUGUGGAUUGUGGAUGAUCAACUUCAACAGAAAAAGUUACAGAGGAGAUCUCACCUAAAGAUGAGGAAGAGAAACAGGCAGAAGAAUCCUCGCCUCAAAUGAGGUCAGGGAGACGUUUGAAAUGUGGGGAACCUGCCGAAUUUCGUGGAAAAGCUGCCCCUGAGGGAGGCUGUAGUGGUGAGCGGAGAAUCUGUUUAACCAGGCAAGGUCACACUUGUGCAAAUGCUCAACGGGAAGCAAACCAAGUGUCACUGGUUCCCGGUUAAAGCUGCACAAAAAGAAAGCGAUUUCAUUGAGCCAAUAGCAGCAGUUAUUUCACGAGUGAUGUCACAGUCGCCUUGUGCGGUGGCCCUCUUCUCUCUUGACUCCCUCGCCCCAGCCAGGAAGGUUUUCAAAGGAAUCAGAAAUCAUGCUACAGCCUGAUGCCUUGCCAUUAACAAAAUGAGUUCUGAUUCCAAAUACAAAGAUAACAUCUGGAGUCAUCUUGUACAUACAGUGCUGUGGUCAGCUGGCCAUGAACUUCCUGUCUGGACAGGAAGUGCAUCAUUCAUGAUGGUGGCAGGCCCUCGGGCAGUCAGGGUGGAAGAAAGACUGCAAUAUUAAUCGUUAAACUGUAGAGUUAGCAGUCUCCGAAGCUCUAUUUCUCCCUUUCAUUCCGCUCUGCAUGCCUUGUACUCUUUGUUGCCCAUAACUGGUUUGACAAAUUUAAUGGCAACUGAAUUUCUGUAGUGCAGUCACCUUAGCCAAAAGUUAGACGAAAAUCUUUAAAUAGAGCCAAGCAUGUGACUGAACAGCUAACCUCUCCUAAACUCCUCAGUGGAUUUUUAUUUUAAAAAAGGAUGUCAACACCAGCUGAAUCUCUAAACAUGUAAAAUUCCAGGCGUGCGGUCCAUUGAAACAUUUCAGGCCUCCAAAGAAAGGUAUCCACAGUCGGGGGCUCCAGGUGGACUCUGCCCAGGACUCUGGCCACUCACCCAUCCCAGAAGUGCUUGGAACAAGGACCUGUCUUCUGCGACACGGUCUGCAUCACCUGGCAUCACGCCCAGCGUAAACAAACGGCCCGAUACAUAUUUGCUAAGUAAACGAUCUGCUUCCAGCCUGUAACCCUCACCCUGCUUUUAGCUGAUUCCAUUUCUCUUUAUGACCAACACAAAAAUCAAUCAUGGGGAUGUUUUGCGAAGCAGGAAGUGAGCAGUUUACCCAAGCACCAUCCCCGGAAAGCUGCUGGACAAAUAUAAAUGUGUUACUCAGUGGUCACACGGAGCUAGGGGACCCCUUCCUAAUGAAGGGUCCACCCCGGGUCAGCUCGGGUAGCUCACAGCAAAACAUCUAAGGCGCGGAAGUUGUUCCCAGUCAGUGACACCUCAAAUACAUCUUGAGUGUGGGCUUCCUUUAUUUAAAAAAAAAAAAGUGUUUUAGAAAAAUCAUCAUAAAAUAUUCAAGACUUCGGCAUUUUAUGACUCAGAAUAAUUUCAUCUUGUGUAUAUGUAAGCCUGGAAUGAAACACCUCUGAACACAGCUGUUUACCUGCACCACAAGGCGGCCCUGAAUGAGCUGCACGAUUAAACCCCGAUUUCCCCUUCCCACCUCGCUCUCCCUCCACCUGGGAACCAAAUACUCUUCAACACUUUUAAUCCCUGCCUCUCUUUAAAAUAAGAAAGACUCUGAGGUGAACUAAUCAGUAAGUGAACAUUCACCAUAGAGAGAAAAUACAACUAAAAAGAAGAAAUCACUACUAUUAACAUUCUGCUGUAUACUUUUUCAGGAUCCUUUUUUCUCUGUGAGAUUUUAUGUAUUUUAAGACUACUUUUCCACUUACAGUGUAUCUUGUCACCCUGCACCAAUAAAUCUCCUACAACAUGGAUGAUUAAAUGACCAUUCUGUACAAGUUUUCAACAGACUAAAGGAACAGAAUGAAAUUGAACAGGGACAGGCUUGAGGUAGAAAUUCAGAAAAUAAAGCAUUUUAUGAUGCUCAGCUUGCAUUUUAGGAAGGCAGUGGUUAGCUGUUGACAGUAGAUAUGAGAAGACAGCUUUGGGGUGAAGAAUCAGCAAAUCUCAGCUAGCAUGUCCCACAGCACUCUGGGAGGUUAAGGCAUGCCCCAUGGCAUCCUGGGAAGUUCAGGCAUGCCCCGUGGCACUCUGGGAAGUUAAGGUAGAAGGCUUGCGAGCUUCGGCUCAGUUUGGGCAAUUUAGCUAGAACUUUUCUCAAAAUAAAAUUCCAAAAAUGUGCUGGGGAUAUAGCUGAGUGUGAAGGGGCCAGAGUCCAAUCCUCAGUACCACUAAAAUGAAAACAAAAUCAUCAGGCCUUGUCCAGGGUUCGGGAAAUGAAGACAGAGAAAUCAGGAACGACUUCCAGGAUUUGGCCCUGGGGACCUGCACCCCCAAGAGAAAGAAGGCCUUGAGGGGAUGAGGGAAAUACAAAAUAACGAGGUCAGCUGUGGACACUGGAGCAGCAUGUCUUGGAAGUUAAUGUGCAGGCACCCGGCUUGGGGAUCUCCUAAGGUGGAUUCUGCAUCCAUGGGGCCUCAGACCCUGCACUUCCCACGAGUUUCCAGGAAAGACCGUUGGUGCCCUAAGCCCUGGGACUCCACUUGGAGUUUCAGGAGCCAAAAACUAGCCACAAAGAUUCCUUGCUUUAUCUUUUCUGCUUACUCCUCUCUCCAAGGUCCAAGACUUUCCUGGCUUUCUUGCUAUCCUUUAUCCAUUGUUAUGGUUGAUACAUUGUGUCAACCUGCGAAGGUCA